rnacentral:rRNA from 1 species
UGGGGAAUAUUGCGCAAUGGGGGCAACCCUGACGCAGCAACGCCGCGUGCGGGACGACGGCCUUCGGGUUGUAAACCGCUUUCAGCAGGGAAGAUAGUGACGGUACCUGCACAAGAAGCCCCGGCUAACUACGUGCCAGCAGCCGCGGUAAUACGUAGGGGGCGAGCGUUAUCCGGAUUCAUUGGGCGUAAAGCGCGCGCAGGCGGCUCUUCAAGCGGAACCUCUAACCCCAGGGCUCAACCUCGGGCCGGGUUCCGAACUGGAGGGCUCGAGUGCGGUAGAGGCAGGCGGAAUUCCCGGUGUAGCGGUGGAAUGCGCAGAUAUCGGGAAGAACACCGAUGGCGAAGGCAGCCUGCUGGGCCGGCACUGACGCUGAGGCGCGAAAGCUAGGGGAGCGAACAGG